GCAUUAAUGGGGUAGUGGUAACCUGGGUCGUUGCCAUAUGAGGCUUUCGCACAAUUUGUCUCGACCCGCCGGGGGUUCGAUUCCCUCUUAAUGCA